UCCGCCAUAGCUCAGUUGGUAGUAGCGCGUGACUGUUAAUCAUGAUGUCGUAGGUUCGAGUCCUACUGGCGGAG
rnacentral:tRNA from 1 species